rnacentral:rRNA from 1 species
UCGAUUUGGAGUUUGUUGCCCUGAGUGAUGGGCUCCGAAGCUAACGCGAUAAAUCGACCGCCUGGGGAGUACGGCCGCAAGGUUAAAACUCAAAUGAAUUGACGGGGGCCCGCACAAGCGGUGGAGCAUGUGGUUUAAUUCGAUGCAACGCGAAGAACCUUACCUGGUCUUGACAUCCACAGAAUCUUGCGGAGAUGCGAGAGUGCCUUCGGGAACUGUGAGACAGGUGCUGCAUGGCUGUCGUCAGCUCGUGUUGUGAAAUGUUGGGUUAAGUCCCGCAACGAGCGCAACCCUUAUCCUUUGUUGCCAUUGGUUCGGCCGGGAACUCAAAGGAGACUGCCGUUGAUAAAGCGGAGGAAGGUGGGGGACGACGUCAAGUCAUCAUGGCCCUUACGACCAGGGCUACACACGUGCUACAAUGGCGUAUACAAAGGGAGGCGACCUCGCGAGACCAAGCGGACCUCAUAAAGUACGUCUAAGUCCGGAUUGGAGUCUGCAACUCGACUCCAUGAAGUCGGAAUCGCUAGUAAUCGUGAAUCAAAAAUGUCACGNUGAAUACGUUCCCGGGGCCU